rnacentral:rRNA from 1 species
GAUGAACGCUGGCGGCGUGCCUAAUACAUGCCAGUCGAGCGAACGGACGAGAAGCUUGCUUCUCUGAUGUUAGCGGCGGACGGGUGAGUAACACGUGGAUAACCUACCUAUAAGACUGGGAUAACUUCGGGAAACCGGAGCUAAUACCCGAUGAUAUUUUGACCCGCAUGGUUCAAAAGUGCAAGACGCUCUUUCUGUCACUUAUAGCUGAAUCCGCGCUGCAUUAGCUAGUUGGUAAGGUAACGGCUUACCAAGGCAACGAUGCAUAGCCGACCUGAGAGGGUGAACGGCCAGACUGGAUGUGAGACACGGUCGAGACUCCUACGGGAGGCAGCAGUAGGGAAUCUUCCGCAAUGGGCGAAAGCCUGACGGAGCAACGCCGCGUGAGGGAUGAAGGUCUUCGGAUCGUAGAACUCUGUUAUUAGGGAAGAACAUAUGUGUAAGUAACUGUGCACAUCUUGACGGUACCUAAACAGAAAGCCACGGCUAACUACGUG